GCCGUUUCGUAGGUUAUUCGAAUAAAUUCAAUCAAUGUGACGUGUGUUAUGAAAGAUUGUUGAUAAUGUUGCGAAUAUGAUAAAUAUCAAGGAAGAAUCUUUGAAGGUUCGAUGGAGAAGGGAAAUUUGUUGAAAAGUACUAUUGGGCGAAAGGAAUAUAGAUUUUCAUACGUGUAAAUAAACUUU